rnacentral:rRNA from 1 species
GUGGGGGAUAUUGCACAAUGGGGGAAACCCUGAUGCAGCGACGCCGCGUGAGUGAAGAAGUAUUUCGGUAUGUAAAGCUCUAUCAGCAGGGAAGAGGAUGACAGUACCUGAGUAAGAAGCCCCGGCUAACUACGUGCCAGCAGCCGCGGUAAUACGUAGGGGGCAAGCGUUAUCCGGAUUUACUGGGUGUAAAGGGAGCGUAGACGGAUGGAUAAGUCUGAAGUGAAAGCCCGCGGCUCAACUGCGGGACUGCUUUGGAAACUGUGCAUCUUGAGUACGGGAGGGGCAGGCGGAAUUCCUGGUGUAGCGGUGAAAUGCGUAGAUAUCAGGAGGAACACCGGCGGCGAAGGCGGCCUGCUGGACCGAAACUGACGUUGAGGCUCGAAAGCGUGGGGAGCAAACAGGA